rnacentral:lncRNA from 1 species
GAACCUGGGUAGAUAUGCCCUAUUCUCACCGGGGUGCACUGGAACUAGGCAUUGUUAUUGACUCGGAGACUUGAAGUAGAGGGAGUCGUGAGCUCCAGAGUGUGUGCGUGUGUGUGUGUGUGUAUGUGUGUGUGUGUGUGUGUGUGUGCGCGCGCGCGUGUGUGCGCGCCCCCGUGCGCGCGUGGGUGCAUAUAUGUGGUGUAGGGGAGGCAUUUUCCAGCUACUGGCCCCCAACUGCUCCUCCACCCGCUUCGGGCGCAGAGCGCUGCGCUCUUGGCGGAGGGGCCAGGGGUCGGCUGCGCAUGCAGUUGGCUUCAGAAAAGCACAGGGGGGUUGGUGGGUGGGUUGGCUGGCUGGCGCUCUGCAGUGCAGUGGAGUGUUAGCCCAGGCUCCCUAUAUGGUCGAAGAUUAGCUCGGUGCUGCUGAGGCUGAGCCAGGAAGAGGAGGGAGGAAGAGGAGGAGGAGGAGGAGGAGGAGGAGGAGGAGGAGGAGGAGGUAGCGAAGGAAGAGAAGGAAGGUGGGGAGGUAGGGAAGGAGAGAAGAGCAGGAGCGCACAUCGAGCUGCUGCCUGGGGAAGCAAAAGCGCUGGAGGCUGGGGCAUCACCAGCGCCUUGGGAACCAUGGCCGAAGCAGGAGAAGGAGGAGAGGAUGAGAUCCAGUUCCUGCGGACUAUGUGGAAACUGAGGUUCAACUGGGCCUUUGAUACUUUAGCCAUGAUCAGUGUUUUCUGGAGGGGACCUGUGCUUAAUACAUCAGAUCCUCUCAAAGAUAUCUUUCAGCAAGAUCUGGAUAAGGGCAAUGCUAAUGUGCCAGGGGAGCAGCACCAAUGCUGA